CCUACUACUACUAGUCUUCUCUCCUCCUCUACUGGGCACAAUUCACAAUUUUUUUGUUUAAAUUUUAUGCUUUCAAAUAAUAAAAUUGAGCGAUUGUUUCCUUCUCCUGCUUCUCCUCCUCCUUCUCCUUCUCCUCCUAAAAUAUGCAGCAAUUCACAAUUUAUAUAGCUUGAUUUUAUUCUUAAAAACACAAUCAGAUUGACUGAUUGUUUCCCUCUUCCUCCUUUUUCCUCCUCUUCCUCCUCCUCCUUUACUGGGCAGCAAUUCACAGUUUUUCCAGCUUGUGGUAUUUUUUGCUUUCAACAUAAUAAGUUUAAUGGGUUCUUUUGUCCUCCUCCUCUUCCUCCUCCUCCUCCACCUCCUCCUCCACCUCCACCUCCACUGGGCAGCAAUUCAAAAUUUUUCUCGCUUGAAAUUAAUGCUUUCAACAUAAUAAGAUUGACUAAUUCUUUUCUUUUCAUCCGUUUCCUUUUCCGCCUCCUCCUCCUCCUAUGCUGCGCAGCAAUUCAGUUUUUAAAGUUGGAUUUUAUUCUUUCAACAUAAUAAGAUUCGCUGAUUCUUUCUUCCUCCUCCUUCUCCUCCACAACCACCUCCUUCUCCUCCUUGUCCUCCUUUUCCACUGGGUAAAAAUUCACAAUAUUUCUAGCUUGUUCUUUAUGCUUUCAACAUAAUAAGAUUGACUCAGUUUUUCCUCCUCCUCUUUCUGCUCCUCCUCCUCCUCCAGUGGGCAGCAAUUCAGUUUUUCUAGUUGGACUUUUUUCUUUCAACUUAAUAAGAUUCACUGAUUCUUUCUUCCUCCUCCUCCUCCUCUUCCUCCUCCUUGUCCUCCUCCUCCUCCACUGGUUAGAAAUUCACAAAUUUUCUAGCUUGUAUUUAUUGCUUUUUACAUAAGAUUGACUGAUUCUUUGAUCCUCCUCCUUCUUCUCGUCCUCCUCUUCCUCCUCCUCCUCCUCCUCCUCCUCCUCCUCCUCCUUCUGUUUUUUUUUCCUCCGGGUAGCAGUUCACAGUUUUUUCUAGCUUGGAUUUUAUUCUUCUAACAUAAUAAGAUUCAUUGAUUCUUUCUUCCUCUUCCUUUUUUUGACCUCCUUCUCCUUGUCUUUUUCUUCCGCUUCUGGGCAGCAAUUACAAUAUUUGUAGCUUGGAUAUUAUUCUUUCAACACAAUAAGUUUGAUGGAUUUUUUCUUUCUUUUCCUCUUUGUCCUUCUCCUCCUUCUCCUUUUUUUUUCUCCUCCACCUCCUCCUCCUCUUUCUCCUUCUCCUCCUCUGUGCAGCAUUUCACAAUUUCUCUAGCUUGGAUUCUAUUCUUAAGUAUUUACAACUGGGAAUAAGUAACUUACCUUGUGACUUAACUGAAGUAUUUACAAUUGCUAUGUAUUUACUGGGUGUAAAGUACUUACCUUGUGACUUAACUUAAGUAUUUACAAUUGUUAAGUAUUUACUGGGCGUAACUUACUUACCUUGUGACUUAAGUAUUUACAAUUGUUAAGUAUUUACAACUGGGUGUAACUUACCUUGUUACCUAUUCCAUUAUAUUUAUCUGAU
rnacentral:lncRNA from 1 species